CAACCAGCCACCAACCCCCACAUUCACAGAGAGGGUAGGCCGAAAGCCCCAAAACAAGGCAUUGAAAAUAGCUGAGACAUCGCCUUAUUUGAUCUUCUGCAGCUAGUGGAGUGCUCUGAUUCUGAUACGAUACAAGAAGAUCUUUAAUUUCUCUGGGUUCUUUUCAUUUUCAAGCUAUAUUCACCACUCUGUAAGAUUAAUUGGUAUUUAUCAUCGUCACUAUUUCUUUCUUCUUUGGCCUUUGCCUCGUGGAAUUCGAUUUAUUUUAGGAUUUGAUCAUCUGGGUUUCGUUUCUCAUGCCUUGCUAAUGUGUUCUGUUUUUCCUCUAGCAUUUGAUGCUUCAUAUUCAUUUAGUACGUGUGUUUGUUGUGAAUGUUUGUGUCUUCUUCUUUGCUAUUGUAAUUUGGUUUCAUUUCGCUUGAUCUCUUGUCUUUUUGCUUCUCUUUCUAUGAUAAUUGCAAUUCGGUAUAAUUGUGAGAUCUGAUUGUAUGUACAAUGUUUAUGUGUUGCUUGAUUCAUUCUGUACAGACAUCUCUAAUCACAUAAUAGCUAUUGUGUUUCUUCCAAUAAAGUUAGCUUAAAUAGCUUUUUACUUGUGAAAGAUUUUUCAUAUGCAGGCCUUUCUAUUGGAUAAUUUACUUGGAACUAUUAUCCUCACCAUAGAAUCAUUCUACUGAGUCAUUAUCUUAUCCAAAUUUAAUUUUCUUUUCCUUUUCCAUUUCCAACUAUAAUGAAGGCAGUCAAGAACCUCUGGGGCUUGCACCUGUGAUACAAGCGCUGUUUAUGAGUAAAAAUGACAUGAAAAAAAAAAAAAGAACCCCCCAAAUUUGUUGCAAAUUCAUAUCAUAUAUCUGGGUGCUUAGAGUUUAAAAGUUGCCCUCUUUGGCAGUCACAUGUUGUAAUUGUCAGCUCCCAGUUAUUAUUACUGCAGUUGUAUUUUGUCUGCUGUUCAACUUGUUUCAUGCUUUCAAAAGCUGCUUAUGUAUGUACCCAAGUGUUGAUUGUUUGUCGAUCUUUUUCUGAAUUGGUUGCCUUCAUGUAAGCUGUAAAACAGAAUACCUGUAAAAUUACAGGGCUAAAUUUAUGAGGAUAGGCAGUGCCCUACUCUAUGGUGGCUUUUCUGAUAGAUUUCCUACAAUUUUUUUUCCCCUCUUGGAUAUUUGUUUUCAUCUGUAUGCCAUUUUGAGAUUAUAUUGGCAGUUGACAUCUAUUGAAUUAUGGUCUUAUAUUUUGACCUGGAAAUUUAGAUAUGGCUCCCUUAACAAGAAUUGGGCUUGCUGGCCUUGCUGUCAUGGGCCAAAAUCUGGCCCUCAACAUUGCUGAGAAGGGAUUCCCAAUUUCUGUUUAUAAUCGGACCAAUUCAAAAGUUGAUGAGACAGUUGCACGAGCCAAACAAGAGGGUGAUCUUCCCUUAUAUGGCUUCCAUGAUCCUGAAUUAUUUGUUAAUUCAAUUCAAAAACCUCGUGUAAUAAUCAUGCUUGUUAAGGCUGGACCCCCUGUUGACCAAACUAUCAAGACUUUGUCAGUUUACAUGGAGAAAGGUGACUGCAUCAUUGAUGGUGGUAAUGAGUGGUAUGAGAACACUGAGAGAAGAGAGAAAGCCAUGGCUGAUUUGGGUUUGCUUUAUCUGGGAAUGGGAGUUUCAGGGGGUGAAGAAGGUGCUCGUCAUGGACCAUCUUUAAUGCCUGGAGGUUCCUUUGAGGCCUACAAAUACAUAGAAGACAUCCUCCUUAAGGUGGCUGCUCAGGUUCCUGAUAGUGGCCCUUGUGUCACUUACGUUGGCAAAGGAGGGUCUGGCAAUUUUGUCAAGAUGAUUCACAAUGGGAUUGAAUAUGGUGAUAUGCAGCUGAUUGCAGAAGCAUAUGAUGUGCUGAAAUCAGUUGGGAAGCUUACAAAUGAGGAAUUACGCCAGGUUUUCUCAGAAUGGAACAAAGGGGAGCUUCUGAGUUUCUUGAUAGAGAUUACUGCUGAUAUUUUUGGAAUUAAGGACGACAAGGGAGAGGGAUAUUUGGUUGACAAGGUUUUGGACAAAACUGGCAUGAAAGGUACUGGUAAAUGGACAGUUCAGCAAGCAGCUGAGUUGUCAGUAGCUGCUCCUACUAUAGCAUCAUCAUUGGAUGGAAGAUUCCUUAGUGGUUUGAAAGAAGAGAGAGUUGAAGCUGCCAAAAUUUUCAAAUCAAGUGGUAUUGGAGACUUCCUAGCCAAUCAAGCUGUUGAUAAGAAAAAGUUGAUUGAUGACGUGAGGCAAGCUCUGUAUGCUUCCAAAAUAUGUAGCUAUGCCCAGGGUAUGAACUUGAUACGUGCAAAAAGUGCGGAGAAGGGAUGGAAUUUGAAACUUGGGGAGCUGGCAAGGAUUUGGAAGGGUGGUUGCAUUAUUCGUGCUGUGUUCUUGGACCGUAUCAAGAAGGCCUAUGAUAGAAACCCAGAUUUGGCUAAUCUUCUUGUGGAUCCAGAGUUUGCUAAAGAGAUUAUUGAGCGACAAUCUGCUUGGCGAAGAGUUGUCUGCCUUGCUAUCAACUCAGGUAUUAGUACCCCUGGCAUGUCUGCUAGCCUUGCUUAUUUUGACACAUAUAGGAGGGAAAGGCUGCCUGCUAAUUUAGUCCAAGCCCAACGAGAUUACUUUGGAGCACAUACCUAUGAAAGAAUUGAUGUGGCUGGAUCCUUCCACACCGAAUGGUUCAAGAUUGCUAAACAGUCAAAGAUUUAAAUUUUGCUUUCUCUUGGUGCUGUUGGUAAUGCGAUAAUCUACCCUAGUAACUUAUUGCCAAAGAACCUAAUAAUGUGACAUUUCUGAAAAAAUCAUGUAUUUUUCCUGUUAUCUUGCGGUGAUAUCAUCUCAAAUAUGUAAGGCAUAUUAAAUAUGUUCAAUUUAUUGGACAUAAUGUCGCCAUGUGUGUGAUUGGGACCUUUCCAAGAAGAUCCAGCCAGCUUUGUUGUUUUAGAUGAAAGGAUUAAUCCUUUUACUUACAUGCACCUCAUUCAAUACAAUAAGAGUGUAUUUACGCUCCAUUGGUAAUUCAUCAAUUUAUUAGUCCAUA
rnacentral:misc_RNA from 1 species